rnacentral:rRNA from 1 species
GAUGAACGCUGGCGGCGUGCCUAAUACAUGCAAGUCGAGCGAACAGAUGAGGAGCUUGCUCCUCUGACGUUAGCGGCGGACGGGUGAGUAACACGUGGAUAACCUACCUAUAAGACUGGGAUAACUUCGGGAAACCGGAGCUAAUACCGGAUAAUAUAUUGAACCGCAUGGUUCAAUAGUGAAAGACGGUUUUGCUGUCACUUAUAGAUGGAUCAGCGCCACAUUAGCUAGUUGGUAAGGUAACGGCUUACCAAGGCAACGAUGCGUAGCCGACCUGAGAGGGUGAUCGGCCACACUGGAACUGAGACACGGUCCAGACUCCUACGGGAGGCAGCAGUAGGGAAUCUUCCGCAAUGGGCGAAAGCCUGACGGAGCAACGCCGCGUGAGUGAUGAAGGUCUUCGGAUCGUAAAACUCUGUUAUUAGGGAAGAACAAAUGUGUAAGUAACUAUGCACGUCUUGACGGUACCUAAUCAGAAAGCCACGGCUAACUACGUG